ensembl:lncRNA
AAAUAUUGUGACACGUGUCCCGAGCUCUCAUCAGCGUCGCCCUGGAAACCGAGCAGUCACACCUGCUCCUGCUCGUCACGGGCUGAGCGGCCACACCUGCGGAUCAUCAAGAACUGCAUACUUAAGCACAGCAAACGAACACAGAGGUGAGCGAUGUCUCCAGCAGAGCCAGCUAAUCCUACUGAUCUGUCUUGCUUGCAGAGAGCAGUGUGUGACCGCCAGCCCCACCAUACACGGGAGAGCACAACGGACCCACCCUGCCACCGCACACCAGAGCACAGAGGAAGCUGAGCACCCCGCACCGGACC